CAAAGUACUCAGAAGAAUUGUGGUAAGUAGUGAAAUACAAAUCGGACUAGGAUAUAGCUGGUUUUCUGCGAAAAUUGUUUUGGCAAAUUGUUUAUUCCUCUUAAAAAUAGUAGGUAUAGCACUGAAUAUCUCGAGGGAGUAUGAAAAUAUUUAUCUCAGAUAUUUAAUCUCAAAAUAACUAUUUCUUAAAAUAAAUAAUCAGACUAUGUGCGAUAAGGUAGAUAGUCGAAAGGGAAACAGCCCAGAACAG
rnacentral:rRNA from 1 species